rnacentral:rRNA from 1 species
UGGGGAAUUUUGGACAAUGGGGGAAACCCUGAUCCAGCCAUCCCGCGUGUGAGAUGAAGGCCUUCGGGUUGUAAAGCUCUUUUGGCAGGAAAGAAACGUCAUGGGUUAAUACCCCGUGAAACUGACGGUACCUGCAGAAUAAGCACCGGCUAACUACGUGCCAGCAGCCGCGGUAAUACGUAGGGUGCAAGCGUUAAUCGGAAUUACUGGGCGUAAAGCGUGCGCAGGCGGUUCGGAAAGAAAGAUGUGAAAUCCCAGAGCUCAACUUUGGAACUGCAUUUUUAACUACCGGGCUAGAGUGUGUCAGAGGGAGGUGGAAUUCCGCGUGUAGCAGUGAAAUGCGUAGAUAUGCGGAGGAACACCGAUGGCGAAGGCAGCCUCCUGGGAUAACACUGACGCUCAUGCACGAAAGCGUGGGGAGCAAACAGG